CUGGCUCAGGAUGAACGCUGGCGGCGUGCCAAUACAUGCAAGUCGUACGAGGAAGCCAGCUUGCUGGACGGAACGAGUGGCGAACGGGUGAGUAAUACGUAAGCAACCUGCCUGCAAGGACUGGGAUAACACCUGGAAACGGGCGCUAAUACCGGAUAGGUAACGGAGGGGCAUCCUUCUGUUAUUAAGGUUAAAAACACAAGCAGAUGGGCUUACGGUGCAUUAGCUGGUUGGUGAGGUAACGGCCCACCAAGGCGAUGAUGCAUAGCCGGCCUGAGAGGGUGAACGGCCACAUUGGGACUGAGACACGGCCCAGACUCCUACGGGAGGCAGCAGUAGGGAAUUUUCGGCAAUGGACGCAAGUCUGACCGAGCAACGCCGCGUGAAGUGAAGAAGGUUUUCGGAUUGUAAAGCUCUGUUGUAAGGGAAGAACAGCACGGAGAGAAUCCGUGAAUGACGGUACCUUACCAGAAAGCCACGGCUAACUACGUGCCAGCAGCUGC
rnacentral:rRNA from 1 species